GCUUACGGCCAUACCACCCUGGAAAUGCCCGAUCUCAUCUGAGGGUCGGGCCUGGUUAGUACUUGGAUGGGAGACCGCCUGGGAAUACCAGGUGCUGUAAGCU
rnacentral:rRNA from 1 species